CAGAAUGUAGCUAAACCAACCAAAGCACCUCCCUUACACCGAGAAGAUAUCUAUGCAAUCCAGAUCAUUCUGA
rnacentral:tRNA from 1 species